GGAGAACUAAAACUGCAGGAUCCACCUGAACAUCACGAUGAAGCUGAUCUUUUCUCUGACUCUUACCUGGGCGCUCUACAGCACAGUUGGAGCCCUGCAGUGUAUCACCUGCACAGAUACGAUGUGUUCGACCACAGAAUCAAAAAAUUGUAGCUCAGAGACGAUGUGCAUUUCAGCUACCAUCAAAGCAACUCAAGCUGGAACUUCAAGAACACAAGUUUUCAAAGCCUGUGCAUCAUCCUCAUUGUGUCCGGCCACAGGCAACGCGACUUUUUCAGUCAACUUGGGUUACCAA